rnacentral:lncRNA from 1 species
GUUCUUCAUGCCAUCGGGCCAAGAUGGCUAUUCUAUUCCAUGUCUCACUCAGUUUUCAGGGUAGGGAGAUCUGUUCUGGAGUCCCUAAUCAGUUGAUAAUUUGGCUUUUUGCUUCUAUUCUUCUCAUUCUCAUGGCAUCUGCUUUCUUCAUUAUUUGAACUAAGACAACAUGGGCAUUCAUAACUUGCAUAUGAGGUGUGCCAUAUUAAAACUAGUGCUAUACAUAUGCUCACCACAAUCCUGCUUAUGCAAUGCCGUACUGGACUCUCUCAAGCCAAAUAUAAACACUGGGUUGGGGAAAGACACAAUGAUGUCUUCUUAAAUGAACACACCAUUUGAGUCUUUGGUUGGCAUAACUUUAAGGGAAUAAUAUCUGUUCAUUUGUAGGGUCAAGGUAUCAAGACAAAAAGAUAGACAAUGCUCUCUGCUCAGUGGCUUCAACAUAUGUAUGGCAGAUGUUCAGGAAUAUGGAUGUACCUGCAUCAGGGAGGAGAUACAUAAAGCAUAUAACAUACAGUAGCUCUUUUGGCAAAGAACCUAAUUCAGCAUGUCGCACGUCUCAUUGGUCAUUGCUCCCUCUGAAAGUCCCACUUGGAUACCAACUUUGGAAAUUUCAUUUUUCAUCUCACCAAAGUCCAAUUCUUUGGAUACAUGAACUCCCUUAAGGGAUAUCCACAUAGACAACUGCAAGACAAAGAAACUGAAGUUCAGAGAAGAAAAAUGAUUUGUCCUAGAUCAUGGAGCAAAUUAGUAGCAAGACACAGCUUCAAACCCAGUGAACAAGUGAGAAUGGGAAGAAAGAAAGAUAAAUUUCUUUUAAUUAACCUCAGUAAGGACAGCCAGUCAUAUGGGCCUACUACAAUUCAAGACUUCCAGGCUCAAGUCUUCCUAGAAUUACAGGUGCUCCAUCACACUUGGCUACAAUUUCCAGUCCUUUGACACCACAAAAAUAAUUUUUCCCCUUUUCUUUGUUCUCUUUGGGAUAUAGACCCAGUCAUGGUUUGACUAGAAUAAAGAUGCCAGUAUGCAUAGUUUUAUUAUCCUU